GUGCUCACUUCGGCAGCACAUAUACUAAAAUUGUAACGAUACAGAGAAGAUUAGCAUGGCCCAUGCGCAAGGAUGACACGCAAAAUCAAAAAACGUUCCAUAUUAAA
ensembl:snRNA U6 U6 spliceosomal RNA